UUUCCACAGAACUGCACUGCUUCCCCCUCCCAGUGCCCUCCUUCCAAGGCCUGUCUGAACAGCUACAGCCACUACUUACAGCUGAAGGAGGAUCCAUCAGUGGUGCUCAUCCCGUCAAUCAGAGUGGGAAAUGGGCCCAAGACCGGCGGUGCAGAGGGCGACCUGGUUUGGCCGUUAGCACAUGUUUGGAGCAUAAGAAAGACAGGAGAGAUUGUGAGCUGUGCCUUCCCUCAACUCUGCUUGGCAGCGUCCCCUGUGCCAAUCACACUAAGAGUCCG
rnacentral:lncRNA from 1 species